CCAAGUUCUCUCUGAAAGUCCGUGUAUAGUACAUAUGUUGAAAUUUUACAUCCACAUAGCCUGAGUAUAUUUUGCACUGUACUUGCUUAGUUGUGGCAGAGAGAGGCAGAGAUCUUGCGGCAACAAUUACAGGACCUGCAAGAAAAUCAUCGGUAAUGUUAACUACUCUUGGCAAGAUUUACACCCUUUUACUUCACAAUAGUGGCACAUUACUGCAUCAAAAUGGCUAAUCGUACAUCAAGAUUCAAGAGAACUCCCUAUUAUUGUUGGUUUGUUGAACAAAAAUACGUAACAUAUAGUAAAGACAAACCGAAAAAGAAUCUAACACAUACGUUACUAAAUUUUCAUGAAUUUAUCGACUCAUGGAAUUGGAUGUAAAUGCAUCGUUUUGACAAAUUACAUUGUAUCUGGAAGUCUUAAACUAGUACCUUUACUGACUGGUAUUAUUCAAUAGGCAAUUUUUCUCACCAUCUGAUAGAACAGGCAAUUAAUGGGAGAGGAGCUACGUGGCUUGGGUGUAAAAGAACUAACAAAUUUGGAGAAUAAACUGGAAAUGAGCUUAAGGGGCAUCCGUACUAAAAAGGUCAGCAAUCAACCUGAUACUGUCGACUAAUUUGAAAAAUACUUGAAUCUAAACAUUUUCGGACUUUAUAGGAGCAAAUAUUAAAGGAUGAAAUUCAGGAGCUAACUCGAAAGGUACGUGCAAAAGUGUAGCAGCUUUCAUCAUGUGAUCAGAUUAGUUCAAAAAAUUGAAUCUUGAGUACAUUUCUAUUGAAUGUAUACAGGGGAGCAUGAUACAUCAAGAAAAUUUGGAACUCUACAAGAAGGUAAAUCUCAUUCGACAAGAAAAUGCAGAAUUGUAUGAGAAGGUAGCACUUGAUUUUAGCUAAGAGUUCCCUUGCAUAAUUGCAAAGUCAAAGCUAAUAGUGCAAAAAUAUAACCAUAUUCUUUCAGGCUUAUGGUACAAGGGAUGCUACUGCAAUUAAUGGAACCACCAACUAUCCAUAUCGCUUCACGGUGAGCAGAGAAGUUCAUGCCCCCAUCCAUCUGCAGCUAAGCCAGCCCGACCCACAGAACUUUGAAAGGCCAGCAAGAGUAUCUAAUUAGAGGUAAAUCUCUCCCCGUCCAUUAAAUAUGAUCAUCAAACUUCUGUAAACUAUUAUUUGCGUGUUAUUACCAGUAAAAUCGCGCUGAUACAUCAGUGUAGAUAACUUAAAUCCUUGAAUUGAUGAUAAAAAGCAGUAUCUUAGCAUGGUUACAACACAUUGAGUCUCUCAAAAGAACUCCUGAUUGACUAGCUAGUUGAACAUCAUAGGAAAUAUUUUUUACCUUUUUACAGGUAAAAGUCAAUGGUGGCAGAAAAAUCAAUGAAUUAACAACCUCAACUGCAGAGCGGCAGAAGAGGAAAGACAAAGAAGGAUGGUGUAUUAUCUAAAUUCAUAAUUAAUGGUAGCAUACAUUGUCUGUGCUGCCAAUUGUGUAAUUCAAACAGUUGAUAAUGCACGUAAAGAGAGCACAGGCAUCAAUUAGUACUCCAAUGUAUAUUAAAGAGAUAAGCAUUCAGUACCGCUGACCUAUGGCCAAAGUUGCUACGACACACUCUAAUUUUAUGGGUCCUAUUACCUCUGAACUCAAUUUUAGCAUAUUUUUGUCACCCUUUUGUGCUGAUGUGCCAACUUGCGUGAAGUUUAACACCUGAGGCGCGUGAAGGACUGUCAUCUGUCAUGUCAGCUAAAAAGAUUGCUAAAAAUAUGCUAAAAUUUAGUUCGGAGAUAAUAGGACCCCCGUUGGAAUGUAUUGUAGUAAAUUUAAUCAUAGUUAUAACGUACUAAAUGCUUAUCUCUAAAUUAGAAGGUUACUUGUUGAUCGAAUGUGUUUUUGAGCCGAGACUUUGGACUUGACAACUUAUGAGAGCUUAUUGUAUCACAUUACAUCACUUUUGCAAAGUUCUGCGUAUGUAACUGGACAUCGUGUACAUUGUGACAACACUUAUGUAGGUUAAUCAAUUUUAUUUGUUGUGAUCAUAAACGCUAGCUACUACAAGCUGAAUUUCUUAUUCUCACCAUGCAACUAGGAAGAAAAAGAUAUAGAAACACACUUAAUUAUAAAAACAACUUGCGCCUUCAAGAAUUUUUUGUUGAAUUGAGUUCAGUGUAGAAAGUUAAAGCAAGGGUUCAAAUGGCCCUUAAUAUAUUGUAACUGAUAUUAUUUUUUUUAAUAUAUUAAGUGCAAAAGAGAUUUGACUAGAAAGUAUUCUUGUUGAAACGAUAAUCUUCAAUUCGUCAACAAUUGUGAGAGAAAGGUCAAAAAGGAUGGAGAGUGAUCAAAUCCUACAUCUAAUUCUUUUUUAGGAAUUCUCAAAAAUGACUAUAUUUUAGUCUUUGUUAGAAACCAUAGCUAUAGUUUUGAGUAUUUUCUAUUCAUGUCAACAGUUUGAGAUGCUAGGGGGAAAAGGCAGAUUUAAUUUGGGAGAGAUACAUUGAGAAAUAAAUUAUACUAAGGAUAGAAUAGGUAUAAAAUGCUACUCCCUCCGUCCCAAAUUUCCUAAUUUGAUGUCUCAUUUUACUUGUCAUUUUUUACUUAUCAUUUUUUUACUUAUCAAGACAAGACAAAAAAAAAUCUCAUUAUACCCUUAGUGUAAUUGAUUACUCCUUGUUAUUAGUCAUCCAUCAAUGUUGAAACCAAUAACAAGACACAAUUAAGAGGAGCAAAAUGGUAAAGUUAUAUUACCAAUCAUUGUUUUCUUAAUAGUUGUGUCAUCCCAAUUUGGGACUCGUAAAAUAGGACGGAGGGAGUAGUAAACUCUCCCUUUGAUUUUCUAAACUAAAUAAAUAAAAAUAAAUAUCUAUUUUAGCAAACAAAGCAAAAACAUGAAAAAGAAAGAGAGGGAGGGAGAGAGGGGAAGAAGUUAGGAACACACACUGGCCGGAAUGAAAGUUUUACACCCCUCUUACUUUCAUUUUCAAGCAAGAAAACCAAAAAUACUAAUAAUAAUAAAUUCAUUAUUAAGAACACAUGCAAAUCAAAGUUAAUUAGCUCAAUAUAAUGCUCGAUCUAGGAUGAUAAUAAAACCUAAAUAUCUACUUAUGUACACUGAUUCUUAAAGUCUCUGAAAGUACUCUUAUAUUUGACGGCGAGGAUAGUACUCAUCUUCACGUCCACCUUCAUCGAAAUUCUGCGCAUAACUAUAAGCAUCAUACUGAAACUUCAAUGUCUUCUGCUUGUUCCCAUACACAUUCUUCCCUUCAUUCACCAACUUCUUCAACAAUUUCCUCCAUAAUUUUGCGCGAUACCAGCUACUUCCUCCACGUGUCAACGUAUUUAUUCGCGAGUAUUGUUCGUGCACUGGAAUACAAGACGGUGACAUACAACCGUACAAGCCAUGAGGCAUCGGUCGAGGUGGCCGGUAAUCGGAAUCAGCUCCCAUAUCAUAUGGAUGCUGCUGCAAAACUAAUGUAGGAGUAAGUAUUUUGCAAAGAGAUUGAACUGAGAUUUCGCCAAGUUUGUUGGUGAAUAUCACUAUGUGACUAUCUCCAAUAAUUUCGAUACAAAUGCGUAACAGGUAGUUGGAA
rnacentral:lncRNA from 1 species